GCGCAGGCGCAGAAUUCUCAGCACACGUCGGCACAAGGAGGACCGGCCGGCGAGAAAACCUUCGGUCGCUUUAAGAGUCAAAAGAAAUAUCCACGUCGCCGCUGCCGCCGCUGGGCGUCUGUAGUUAGGGCGGAAGCCGGGCAAAUGACGCGGUGUUUAAGAGGCGGAAGCAAUAUGCACUUAAAUCACAACCCAAGAGAUGGAAGGAGCCAAGGAGAUAAUACCAUCCUAAGAACCCCAAAGCACCCCCCAAAGAGAGUUCCAAAACCCCACUUCAGUCAGGAUUGCCAACAGCCUCCAAGGUUAUCAGUGGGGCCCAAGUACAGUUGGAGCUGUGAAAUGAAACCUGCUUGUUAAAAAAAUAUAUCCUGGAUUCCCUGAUUAAAUAUGGUGAAUGUCUGAUUAAAUGAGCCGAGGUGGCGCAGUGGUUAGAGUGCAGUACAGCAGUUACUUCAGCUGACUGCUAGUUCAACAGAUCAGCGGAUCAAAUCUCACCGGCUCAAGGUUGACUCAGCCUUCCAUCCUUCCGAGGUGGGUAAAAUGAGGACACAGAUUGUUGGAGGCAAUAUGCUAUUUAGUAUACUGUCUUUGGUGUAAGCCACCCAGAGUCCUCGGAGAGUGGGCGGCAUAGAAAUAUGACAAAUAAAUAAAUA